UAGGGAAUCUUCCGCAAUGGACGCCAGUCUGACGGAGCAACGCCGCGUGAGUGAAGAAGGAUUUCGGUUCGUAAAACUCUGUUGUUAGAGAAGAACAGCGCAUAGAGUAACUGUUAUGCGUGUGACGGUAUCUAACCAGAAAGCCACGGCUAACUACGUGCCAGCAGCCGCGGUAAUACGUAGGUGGCAAGCGUUGUCCGGAUUUAUUGGGCGUAAAGCGAGCGCAGGCGGUCAAUUAAGUCUGAUGUGAAAGCCCCCGGCUCAACCGGGGAGGGUCAUUGGAAGCUGGUUGACUGGAGUGCAGAAGAGGAGGGUGGAAUUCCAUGUGUAGCGGUGAAAUGCGUAGAUAUGUGGAGGAACACCAGUGGCGAAGGCGACUCUCUGGUCUGUAACUGACGCUGAGGCUCGAAAGCGUGGGUAGCAAACAGG
rnacentral:rRNA from 1 species